GUAGCACAAAGGGUUAACGUGUGUGGCUGCUAACCAAAAGGUUGGUGGUUCGAGUCCACCC
rnacentral:tRNA from 1 species